AGUUCGAUCAUGGCUCAGAUUGAACGCUGGCGGGAUGCUUUACACAUGCAAGUCGAACGGCAGCACGGACUUCGGUCUGGUGGCGAGAGUGGCGAGCGGGUGAGUAAUGUAUCGGAACGUGCCUAGUAGCGGGGGAUAAUUCAUGCGAAAGGUAGCUUACUACCGCAUACGCCCUUCGGGGGAAAGCGGGGGACCUUCGGGCCUCGCACUAUUAGAGCGGCCGAUAUCGGAUUAGCUAGUUGCGGGGUAACGGCUCACCAAGGCGACGAUCCGUAGUUGGUUUGAGAGGACGACCAGCCACACUGGGACUGGAGACACGGCCCAGACUCCUACGGGAGGCAGCAGUGGGGAAUUUUUGGACAAUGGGGAAACCCUGAUCCAGCCAUCUCCGCGUGUGUGAUGCUGAAGGUCGGGUUGUGGUGUUACACUUUUGGCAGGAAAGAAACGGCACGGGAUAAUACCCCGUGCAACUGACGGUACUCCUGCAGAAUAAGCACUGGCUAACCGCCGCCAGCAGCCGCGGUAAUACGGUGCAAGUGUUAAUCGGAAUUACUGGGCGUAAAAGCGGGCAGGUGCGGUUCUGGAAAGAAAGAUGGAAAUCCCGUGAUGCUUAACUUUGAACUGCAUUUUUAACUACCGAGCCAGAGUGUGUCAGGGAGGGAGGUGGAAUUCGCGUGUAGCAGUGAAAUGCGUAGAUAUGCGGAGGAACACCGAUGGCGAAGGCAGCCUCCUGGGAUAACACUGACGCUCAUGCACGAAAGCGUGGGGAGCAAACAGGAUUAGAUACCCCGGUAGUCCACGCCCUAAACGAUGUCAACUAGCUGUUGGGCUUUGGUCGGUAGAAGGGCAACACGUGAAGUUGACCGCCUGGGGAGUACGGUCGCAAGAUUAAAACUCAAAGGAAUUGACGGUAUCUGCAAUGUUGCGGAUGAUGUGGAUUAAUUCGAUGCAACGCGAAAACCUUACCUACCCUUGACAUGUCUGAAUCCCGAAGAGAUUUGGGAGUGCUCGCAGCGAAAGAACCCGGAACACAGGUGCCGUAUGGCUGUCGUCAGCUCAAAGCCGUGAGAUGUUGGGUUGGAACCCGCAACGAGCGCAACCUAAGUCAUUAGUUGCUACGAAAGGGCACCUAGACGAGACUGCCGGUGAUAAACCGAGGAAGGUGGAUGACGUGUCAGUCCUCGGCGUAGCCCUUAUGGUAGGCCUCAUACACGUCAUACAAUGGUCGACAGAGGGUCGCCAACCCGCGAGGGGGAGCCAAUCCCAGAAACCCGAUCGUAGUCCGGAUCGCAGUUCGUAACCUGACUGCGUGAAGUCGGAAUCGCUAUAACGGCGGAUCAGCAUGUCGCGGUGAAUACGUUCCCGGGUCUUGUACACACUGCCCGUCACACCAUGGGAGUGGGCUUUACCAGAAGUAGUUAGCCUAACCGGGAGGGCGAUUACCACGGUAGGAUUCAUGACUGGGGUGAAGUCGUAACAAGGCA
rnacentral:rRNA from 1 species